UAGGCUUAGCUACUGGAAGUAUUUUAAUCGAUUACACUUUUUCAAGUGUAAACUUGUAAUCGAUUAACGCUGUUCAAAGCAGUUAGUAGCAAGAGAGAAUAAUCGAUUAACUCUAUAAGAUAAUCGAUUAUUCGACGAGAUUAUAAAAUCUGAGAUUAGGGUUCAAUCGCUCAUUUUACCCUAAAAAUCGAUUUAAAAUCAUCUCUUCGCCUCCUCUCGUCUCUCAAGCCUCUUUUAGCAAGUUCAGAGCUACCCUGUGUCGUGUUUAAUCUUCUUCAAGUAGUUUCUCUCUUCCCCGCUUGCUACUCGAGUGAUUUAUCAUGGCCGAAUCUCUAUCAAAGAAAGCUCGAACUAGUUCCACAAAGGGAAAGAAACAGGUCAUCUCUGAAGCUGAUGUUUUCUUCUCUCAAGAUCAAAAAGAAGCAAGAUGGGUUCAUUUCAUUGAAAGAAAAAUUGAGAAUCAUAAGCUUAUUGAUCUCUCAUGGUUCAUAGACCAAGGAUUUGAGUUCCCAAGACUUUUGAUUGACCAACACUUGGACAUCUUUUGCAAUCUCCGCGAAAAUGUCUAUCCAAAGCUUGUCAAGGAGUUUUAUGCUAAUCUGGUAAAACGAGGUGAGGAAUGGGUAACUGAAGUUCGUAACUCACGAAUCUCGGUCUCUUUGGAUGUGUUGG
rnacentral:lncRNA from 1 species